UACGAGAGGUGCAAGCGUUGUCCGGAUUUAUUGGGCGUAAAGCGUUUCUAAAGGCGCUUUUGUAAGUUAUCUUUCAAAUUCUGAGGCUCAACCUCAGGCAGGGAGGUAAUACUACAAGAGUUGAAAUAUUUCGGGGUUACUAGAACUGUCGAUGUAGGGGUGAAAUCCGUUGAUAUCGAUAGGAAUUCCAAGGGCGAAGGCAGGUAACUAGGAAUUUUUUGACGCUGAUGAACGAAAGCUAGGGGAGCGAAAGGG
rnacentral:rRNA from 1 species